UUUAUAAUGUAACCAUUUAAUUCAUUAGAUACCGAUUCCUAUCUCGAAAACGUGUUUUCUCCUCUUUGAUUUUCUUAACUAUCUUCUAUAGGCAACCUUUUUUUAUCCAAUCAAAAAUGAUUUUAUCAUUUUGGAAUCCCCAAUUCAAUAUAGAUGGAUCUAUACCCUAUCUAUAUAUCCUUCUUCUUGUCAUUUUGCCAUUCUUUUUGGAAUACUUGAACAAUCGAUUCUAGUUUCUUAUCUUCACUUUUGCCUGAAAGCUGAGGAAUGUCUCAUUAAUUAUAACUAACCAUUCCAUUAAAUAAUUUUGAAAUAAAUAUAGAAUGAGAGACAUAUAUGAUAUAGAAUAAAAUAUAGAACUAUAAUAAAAAAGAUUUCAAAUGCCAAAAAAAGAAAUGAAAAAGAAUAUUUACCAUUCAAAUUGAAAAUGAAAAUAAAAAGAAUAUUAACAAUAUUUGCAAUCACUAUUUAAUGAUAUUAGUAUUAGAAUUGUUAUUAGAAUUGUGAUAAAUCGAAAUUCUAGAUCGCUAUAGUAAUCCUUAUGCUCUAGAAUCUAGAAUAUUCAAUAUAAUAUUGAAUAGUUAAUAAUUCCAAUUCCAGUAGUUNCUGUUAGAAUUAUGAUAAAUCAAAAUUCUCGAUCUCUAUAGUAAUCCUUAUGCUCUAGAAUCUAGAAUAUUCAAUAUAAUAUUGAAUAGUUAAUAAUUCCAAUUUCAGUAGUUUAGGAAAUUACUAUGCAUAUACUAAGUGGAGGUCCGAACCGACUUAUGUUAAAGAAUCAUUAGAUGAGUUAUGGUUAGAGAUAAAAUGCCACUAGAACCCAGAGCUAACUGGUUCUCCCCAAAAUGCAUUGAGGCGCAGUAGUUGACUGGAAAUUUAGAGGUAAAACACUAUUUUAAUGCGGGCUGCAAGAGCAGUACCAAAUCAAAGCAAACUCUGAACACUAUGUAUGGCCUUAAAAAAGAGGGGUCAAAGUUGGCUAGUAAGAUGAUAGGGGAUAAAAUUCAUCAUCGAGAGGGAAACAGCCUGGAUCACCAGCUAAGGCCCCUAAAUGAUCGCUCAAUGAUAAAGGAGAUAAGGGUGCAGAGACAACCAGAAGGUUUUCCUAGAAGCAGCCACCCUUGAAAGAGUGCAUAAUAACUUAUUGAUCGAGCGCUCUUGCACCAAAGAUGUACGGGGAUGCGUUGACAUUACCCUUUUGCAUUAUAGUUANGUAGGGUGUAAAAAUACAUCGGUAGGGGAGUAUUUGGCCUUAGAGGAAAGCCUCCAUGUGAGCAGUGGUGGACGAAGUGGAAGCGAGAAUGUCGGAAUGAGUAAUGAAAACAUUGGUGAAAAUCAAACUCCUCAAAAACCUAAGGGAUCCUCCGUAAGUUUCUUCCAUAGAGGGUGAGUCAGGACCUAAGAUCAAGCCAAAAGGCAUAGUCGAUGGACAACAGGUGAAUAUUCUUGUACUACCUCUUGUUGGUCCUAAGAGAUGGAUGAGGGUAGGUUAGCUGAAAAAUGGUUAUCGGUUCAAGAAUGUAAGGUGUCCCUGCCCUUUUUAGAGGGUAAGAAGGGGUAGAGAAAAUACCACAAGACAAUGUUUGAACACCAGGCACUAUGAUGCUGAAGUAACCAAUUCCAUACUCCUAGGAAAAGCUCAAAUGACUUUGAGCAGGAGAGUACCUGUACCUAAAAUCGACACAAAUGGGUAGGUAGAGAAUACCUAGGGGCACAAGACAACUCUCUCUAAGGAAUUCAGCAAAAUAUCCCCGUAACUUUAGGAGAAGGGGUACUUCUUCACAUCACAAAGGGGUCGCAGUGAUAAGGCCCAGGCGACUAUUUACCAAAAAUAUAGGUCUCUGCAAAGUCAUAAGACUAUGUAUGGGGGAUGACGCCUGCCCAGUGCCAAAAGGUCAAAAAAGUUGGUGACCUAAUGACAGUGGAGCUGGCGACCAAAGCCCCAGUGACUAGCGGUCGUAACUAUAAUUUUCCUAAGGUAGCAAAAUUCCUUCUUGGGUAAGUUCCGACCCGCAUGAAAAGCGUAACAAUCUAGGUACUAUCUUGGAGAGAGGCUCAAUGAAAUAAACAUGUCUGUGAAGAUACGAAAUACCUGCACCUAGACAGAAAGACCUAAUAACGCUUCACUGUUCCCUGGGAUUGGCUUUGGACCUUUCCUGCACAGCUUAGGUGGAAGGCAAAGAAGGCCUCAUUUUGGGGGGCCCGAGCCAUCAGUAAGAUACCACUCUGGAAGGGCUAGAAUUCUAACCUUGUGUUAGGACCUACAGGCCAAGGGACAGUCUCAGGUAGAAAGUUUCUAUGGGGCGUAACCCUCCUAAAAGGUAACGGAGGCAUGCAAAGGUUUCCUCAAGCCGGACGGAGAUUGGCCCUCGAGUAAAAAAGUAGAAGAAAGGUUGAAUGCAAGACACACCAGUUGAGCAGGGAUGAAAGUAGGCCUUAGUGAUCUGAAGGUGUCGAGUGAAAAGGUCGCCGCUCAAUGGAUAAAAGUUACUCUAAGGAUAACAGGUUGAUCUUCCCCAAGAUCCCACAUGAUGGGAAGGUUUGGCACCUUGAUGUCGACUGUUUGUCACCUGCGGUUGUAGUAUGUUCGAAGGGUUGGGUUGUUCGCCUAUUAAAACAGUACGUGAGCUGGGUUCAAAACAUUGUAAGACAGUUUGGUCCAUCUCCGGUGUAAGCAUUAGCGCAUUGAGAGGAACUUUCCUUAGUACAAGAGGACCGGUAAGGACGCACCUCUGGUGUACAAGUUAUCAUACCCAUGGCAAAUGCUGGGUAGCCAUGUGCGAAGCAGAUAACCACUGAAAAUAUCUAAGUAGUAAGUCCACCUCGUGUGCUCUCCUAUUUUGACUUCCCCAGAGCUUCCAGUAGCACAGGCGAGACAGCGACGGGUUCUCUACCCCUAUGGGGAUAGAGAGACAUAAGUUUUUUUGAGAAUUCAAGAGAAGGUCAUGACGAGAAAAGCCAUUUAUCAUUACGAUAGGU
rnacentral:rRNA from 1 species